GUGGGGAAUAUUCCGCAAUGGACGAAAGUCUGACGGAGCAACGCCGCGUGAGUGAUGAAGGUUUUCGGACUGUAAAGCUCUGUUGUUUAGGACGAAAGUGCCUGUUGCAAAUAGUUACAGGUAUUGACGGUACUGAACGAGGAAGCCACGGCUAACUACGUGCCAGCAGCCGCGGUAAUACGUAGGUGGCAAGCGUUGUCCGGAAUUAUUGGGCGUAAAGAGCAUGUAGGCGGGAAUCUAAGUCUGUUGUGAAAAUGCGGGGCUCAACCCCGUAUUGCGAUGGAAACUGGGUUUCUUGAGUGCAGGAGAGGAAAGGGGAAUUCCCAGUGUAGCGAUGAAAUGCGUAGAUAUUGGGAGGAACACCAGUGGCGAAGGCGCCUUUCUGGACUGUGUCUGACGCUGAGAUGCGAAAGCCAGGGUAGCGAACGGGAUUAGAUACCCUGGUAGUCC
rnacentral:rRNA from 1 species